rnacentral:rRNA from 1 species
UACAGAGGUAGCGAGCGUUGUCCGGAUUUACUGGGCGUAAAGGGCUUGUAGGUUGCCUUUUAAGUCAGGUGUGAAAUCGUCCCGCCUAACGGGACAAUUGCAUUUGAUACUGAUUGGCUUGAGUGCAGAAAGGGAAACUGGAAUUUCCGGUGUAGCGGUGAAAUGCGUAGAUAUCGGAAAGAACACCAGUGGCGAAGGCGGGUUUCUGGUCUGCAACUGACACUGAGGAGCGAAAGCCAGGGGAGCAAACGGG